AAGUAGCGGCGUCGAGGAUGAUCUACAUGUUGAAUGAUAUGGCCAAUUCGCCAGAUUUGACCAAAAUGUUGUCAGAAGACGUUCAGCGCGCUCCUACAGAGUCCGAAUGCACAUACUCGCUAAACGUUUUGUCGAAAGCAGCCUGGCCAGAAUCUGAAAAUAAAUGUACCCCCAAGAUGAAGUUGUCAAAUUUGCUGGAUAUAAACAUGGAAGAAUUCAUCUCGGAGCUCUACAAAUCAAGCAAAGAUGACUACAAAUACCGAGAUCUUCAGUGGUGUCCUCAUUUCAGCCAAUGUAUUAUUUUCACUUAUAUUAUUUAUCAAGCCAAUAAAAGCGAAUGAAUCUCCAACAGGCGUCGUGAAAACCAGUUUCGUCAACAAGGAGUAUUCGCUUAAAAUGAACGUUGUCCAAACGGAAAUUUUGAUACUCUUUUUUGAAAAAGACACGCUGAACUUUGCUGAUGUUAAAAAUAGCACGGAAAUUCCCAGCAAGGAACUGAGUAUGUACAUCACCAGUUUGGUGAAUGCCAAGCUCCUCAUCUCGGAUACCAAGAUUAUUGGACCAGAAAGCAAGCUCACGUUGAACCGUGAUUUCAGCAGCCAGGAGAAUCCCGUUGUGAUUGAAGACCCGUGUAUUUUUGGCGACGAGGAAAUCGAUCAUAAGGUGGACCUAAAGUCAGAGCUCCGCUUGCGCCUUAUAUCUUCGAGGAUUGAGCGAUAUUUAAAAAAAGAGAAAGACUCUGCUAUGACCCUCGAAUACAUCAUCGAAUGGGUUUGA